rnacentral:ncRNA from 2 species
UGAAACAAGCCUUAUGUGCUUAAUUAAUUCAAGCCCUCUGUACUUUCUCACUUUGACAGAGCGUAUCACACUCGCAAAUGCGAUAAAGGAGACUUUUAUG